AGGAAACCGGUAGAGGGGCCAGCCUCAGGCCCCGACAACGACUGGGGCA
rfam:TPA: Bos taurus chromosome 18, whole genome shotgun sequence.